CGCGUAGGUGGUUUGAUCAGUCGGAUGUGAAAGCCCAGGGCUCAACCUUGGAAUUGCAUUCGAUACUGUCUGACUAGAGUAUGGUAGAGGGAAGUGGAAUUUCCAGUGUAGCGGUGAAAUGCGUAGAUAUCGGAAAGAACAUCAGUGGCGAAGGCGACUUCCUGGACCAAUACUGACACUGAGGUGCGAAAGCGUGGGGAGCAAACA
rnacentral:rRNA from 1 species